GAUGAACGCUGGCGGCGUGCUUAACACAUGCAAGUCGAACGAUGAAGCCCAGCUUGCUGGGUGGAUUAGUGGCGAACGGGUGAGUAACACGUGAGUAACCUGCCCUUAACUCUGGGAUAAGCCGGGGAAACUGGGUCUAAUACCGGAUAGGAGCGUCCACCGCAUGGUGGGUGUUGGAAAGAUUUAUCGGUUUUGGAUGGACUCGCGGCCUAUCAGCUUGUUGGUGAGGUAAUGGCUCACCAAGGCGACGACGGGUAGCCGGCCUGAGAGGGUGACCGGCCACACUGGGACUGAGACACGGCCCAGACUCCUACGGGAGGUAGCAGUGGUGAAUAUUGCACACUGGGCGCAAGCCUGAUGCAGCGACUCCGCGUGAGGGAUGACGGCCUUCGGGUUGUAAACCUCUUUCCGUAGGGAAGAAGCGAAAGUGACGGUACCUUCAGAAGAAGCACCGGCUAACUACGUG
rnacentral:rRNA from 1 species